rnacentral:pre_miRNA from 1 species
AGCCUUCUGUAUCCGUGCUGACUUCGUCACACACGAAACCACAAGGGCUGAUGAGACUUCCAAGAUAAGUGAAAAG